CUGCGCACCCCGUCGGCGCUGCCCCGACCCGGGCCCGGAGGGGGUUCGAGGGUCUCCGCCGCGGGGCUGGGCUGCGGCCCGCGACCAAGAAUUAAAACAUAGGCCAGGGUGACCGGGGGCGACGGAGAAUGAGACACGUUCCAGAAGUUCACGGGAUGGAAGAAGGGCCCGACGAGGCGGCCGGGCAACAGCGGUCGCCGCGAGGCUCUUACGGGACUGACCGUUUAUUUCAGGUGCCUGGCCCUGGCCGGUGGUCGAGCGUCUACGCAGCCGCGUCUUGCCGGGAGCCGCGGGGAAGCGGAGCGGGACCUGCGGCCGCGUCCUGGGAGCCCAGGCGGCCGCUCACCGCAGAGAUGAUCCACACUAGUAUUUUAUUGCCACGAUGUUUAAAUUCUUCAUUCAAACCCAACCAAGAAAUUUUACUUACUCCAAUAUUUGUGCUUAUCUACGAUAACUGAGACAGGAGCUCAGCUAUGACUACUGAGGAAAAUAAUCUUAAUUCAUAAAAUAUAUAUGUACACAUAAUGGUGAGGGCUUAGAAAUGUUUAGUCAUUCACUUUUUUACUGAAAUUAGACUCUGCCAGCUAAAGAGCCAUCCAAAAAAAAAAAAAAGUUUUAAAAGAAAAUGAAUAGAAGAAUGGAUGAGUGAACGGCUAUUCCGAACUGCAAGGA
rnacentral:lncRNA from 12 species